ACUCACAUAGCGUGUAUGAAAGUUGCGGUGGUUGAAAAAGCUCGUAGGUGGAUGUAUGCCAAGGGCGAUCGGUCCACGCCUGGGUCAGCAGCUGGCUCGGUCUAGGCAUCAUCUUGGAGAGCGUCGCUGUGCUUGAUUGUGUUGCACGGUAGCCGGUACAUUUACGUUGAGGGAAUGAUAGCGGUGCAAUCCAGCGCACG
rnacentral:rRNA from 1 species